rnacentral:rRNA from 1 species
UGGGGAAUUUUGGACAAUGGGCGCAAGCCUGAUCCAGCAAUGCCGCGUGAGUGAAGAAGGCCUUCGGGUUGUAAAGCUCUUUUGUCAGGGAAGAAACGGGUGAGGCUAAUAUCCUUGCCUAAUGACGGUACCUGAAGAAUAAGCACCGGCUAACUACGUGCCAGCAGCCGCGGUAAUACGUAGGGUGCAAGCGUUAAUCGGAAUUACUGGGCGUAAAGCGUGCGCAGGCGGUUGUGCAAGACAGAUGUGAAAUCCCCGGGCUUAACCUGGGAAUUGCAUUUGUGACUGCACGGCUAGAGUGUGUCAGAGGGGGGUAGAAUUCCACGUGUAGCAGUGAAAUGCGUAGAUAUGUGGAGGAAUACCGAUGGCGAAGGCAGCCCCCUGGGAUAACACUGACGCUCAUGCACGAAAGCGUGGGGAGCAAACA